rnacentral:rRNA from 1 species
GAACCGUACAAACGUUAUUCGGAAUCACUGGGCUUAAAGGGUGCGUAGGCGGCUCUGCAAGUUGGGUGUGAAAGCCCUCGGCUCAACCGAGGAAUUGCGCCCAAAACUGCCGGGCUCGAGGGAGACAGAGGUGAGCGGAACUUAGGGUGGAGCGGUGAAAUGCGUUGAUAUCCUAAGGAACACCAGUGGCGAAAGCGGCUCACUGGGUCUCUUCUGACGCUGAGGCACGAAAGCUAGGGGAGCGAACGGGGAUUAGAUACCCCGGUAGUCCUAGCCGUAAACGAUGAGCACUGGGUCGGAGGACCCUUCCCAUAGUCUUCUGAUCGUAGCGAAAGUGUUAAGUGCUCCGCCUGGGGAGUAUGGUCGCAAGGCUG